GAGAAUCAUCUCUUUCUACAAAGUGCUUGAUUUCAAGCUUGCUAUUACCAUACAAGAAUGAAGAGUUAAUUGUUCUUCUAAUGCAGUUUCUGAUUCUCUCGCACUUUUUGUCUAACUAAAGGAGAAUAAUAUAGAAUAGGAAGAUAAUAUCCCUAAUACAAUUUAGGAAUUUAAUUCCAUGUAAAAUUAGGAAUUUAAGAGUUUUAUUCUUUAGG
rnacentral:misc_RNA from 1 species